CAUCCUCUCAUCUGCGUCUCCCCCUCGGCCAAGUUUUCCGGAAACAUCCGGCUGGAAGGAUGCUCCAGGGAGCGGAGCGGGCAAAAGCAGGCACUGGGGAUGGCCCCAGGACUCCUCCGGCUGCAGCUACCAGCUGCCCCAAAGAACAGAGCAGUGCCCUUCCUGCUUGGGAAGGGAGCGAGGGCUACGGCAGCAGCGGGAAGUUGUCAGUUCUGUGUGCUGGGUUUCUCUGUGCCAGGCGUCACCAGUGCGCACGCGGCGUCCGCAGAUCUUCCAGGCACCAGUGUCUCAGAGAGGACACUUGGUGAGGGUGCUGUCCCGGAGCCCCCAGACCCACCAAGCCACAAGAAAUCCAAAAGCCCCGGGCAAGACAGGGCCAGGCAGCCGUGUCCCUAAACGGCUGGGCUGUGGGACCCAGGGCUCCGCGCGGCUCUUCUUG
ensembl:antisense Gm42838 predicted gene 42838